rnacentral:tRNA from 1 species
UCCCCGGUAGCUCAGUUGGUAAAGAAUCUGCCUGUAAUGCAGGAUAUCUGGGUUCACUUCCUAGAUUGGGAA